rnacentral:lncRNA from 1 species
ACAUUUUUCGCAAUAAAAUGUCAAAAUAGGGUUAAAGAUGUCAAAAAUGAAAGGUAAUGACAUUUUGCAUAAUAACAUUAAAAAGUAAAGAUGUUUUGUUUUAAUGAUACUAUAAUUAUUCAAGUUUAGCAAUAUACUUGAAAUCACAAUAAAUUGUUUUGCAAUCAAAGUUAGGUUCUAAAAAUAAUACCAGAAUUAAAUCCACGUUAAUUAUUUCCAAAUUACGUUAAUGUGAAAAUGGUGUAUUGAAUUCAUUUUUGUUGUCAACUUUGCGUUUCUCGAUGCCUUCGAAAUAGAAUACCAAAUCUCUUAAAGAGAAUUUAUUUAGAUAGCAUUUUUGUUAAUUUUUAUGCUAUAUCGAAGGGCCGAUUUAUUUACUUUUUUGCCAAAGAUCUUGUCUAAAUAUUCUCUUUCAUAGUGAAAAGUUUUUAUUUGUAUAAAGAGUAUUCCCAAGAAAUUCUUAUUUUUAAAGUGCAUUUAUACCCAAGCCAAUCUACACCUUCAUCCCCCCAUGUCACUCGAGAGUCUUUUGAGCUUUCAAAGAAGCAUGGGAAAGAUGUGCGUAUGGUGGUAUGGGGAAAGGGAUGGAAGAUCCAAGAUAGGAAGGGAGGGGAACGAGGCGAAGAAAGGAGUCUAAAAAGAGAGCACAUGUAAUAUGCAUAGUUGAUUGUGUAAUUGACUUGUUUUGAUUAAAGAGCAUUGUUAUAUCUAAAAUUAGAUAUAAAUCAUUUGACGGCAAGUCAAAGGAAGGGUAAAGUGACAAAUUUGAUCGUGUGUCAUUAGGGAAAUUAAGGAACAAUGACAAAAU